rnacentral:tRNA from 1 species
AAUGAAUUGCCUGACGAAAAGGGCUAUCUUGAUAGGAUAGAUUAUAAAGUUUAACUUUAUUCAUUA